rnacentral:rRNA from 1 species
GUGAGGAAUUUUCCGCAAUGGGCGAAAGCCUGACGGAGCAAUGCCGCGUGAAGGAUGAAGGCCUAUGGGUAGUAAACUUCUUUUCUCAGAAAAGAAUUAUGACGGUAUCUGAGGAAUAAGCAUCGGCUAACUCUGUGCCAGCAGCCGCGGUAAGACAGAGGAUGCAAGCGUUAUCCGGAAUGAUUGGGCGUAAAGCGUCUGUAGGUUGUUUAAAAAGUAUUCUGUCAAAGAUUAGGGCUUAACCCUAGAUAGGCAGAAUAAACUUUUAAGCUAGAGUUUGGUAGAGGCAGAGGGAAUUCCCGGUGGAGCGGUGAAAUGCGUAGAUAUCGGGAGGAACACCAAAGGCGAAGGCACUCUGCUGGGCCAAUACUAACACUGAGAGACGAAAGCGAGGGGAGCAAAUGGGAUUAGAUACCCUUGUAGUCC